GGGCGUGUAGCUCAGUUGGUAGAGCGUUCGCUUCGCAUUUUCUCCUGAUUUGCGAAAGGUCUUGGGUUCGAUUCCCAACUCGUCCA
rnacentral:tRNA from 1 species